rnacentral:rRNA from 1 species
ACUUAAAUUGAAGAGUUUGAUCAUGGCUCAGAUUGAACGCUGGCGGCAGGCCUAACACAUGCAAGUCGAGCGGUAGCACAGAGAGCUUGCUCUCGGGUGACGAGCGGCGGACGGGUGAGUAAUGUCUGGGAAACUGCCUGAUGGAGGGGGAUAACUACUGGAAACGGUAGCUAAUACCGCAUAACGUCGCAAGACCAA